rnacentral:lncRNA from 1 species
GGGCCUCCAGCUGGUGGAGAAGAGAGUACGGAGUGAGGCCUGAGCCUCCUGUCCCAGGGCGUGUCUCCCGCCCGGCUUCCAUCGCAGUCCCUUCAUUACCCUUGCACGACACCACGGUACCUUGAGCAGACCAAGGGCUGGCCUAUGUAACCAGUAGAAAACUGUGGAAGUGAUGGGGCAGGACCAGUAGAAUACUAGAGAAGUGAUGGCGUGGGACAACUUCCAAGGCCGCAUCACAGAAGGCAUUGCAGCUUCUGCCGUGGUCUCCUGGACUGCACACUGGGCAAGCCAGGCACCAUACUGUGAGGAUGCUCAAGCAGCCCCGAGGAGAGGCACACGUGGAGAGGAACUGAGGCCUCCUGCCAACAGCCACGUGAGUGCACCACCCAGAAGUGGGUCCUUCAGCCUCAGACAGGCUUUCAGAGGACUGGAGCCCUUGCUGACCUCUGACUGCAGUCCUGUGAGAGACCCUAAGACACAACUUCCCACUCACACUGCUCCUGAAUUCCUGACCACAGAAACUGUGAGAGAUGUGAAGUGCUUAUUGUGGGAAGCUUUGUUAUGUACUUUCUUACAUAAUGCUAGAUUACAAGUGCAGUUGCUGCCCAUGGGUGCCACCUGCUGGUGUUCCUGCCCCUGUGUACCCCCUCCCCUUGAGUGUGUGCCGUGAUGGGAUGUCACUCUGAGACUGCACAGCAAAGCCUCUGGCUUCUACCUUUCUCACUCUCUUGCUCUCUUGUCUCCCUUGCUCUGAGGGAAACUGGCUGCCAUGUUAUAAGCUGCUCUAUGGAGAGGCCCAUGUGGCUAAGAAUUGAGGGAGGCCUCCUGCUGAUAGCCAGUGAGGACCUAAGGACCUCAGUCCCACAUCUGGUGCAGAGCUGCACUGGCCAACAACCAUGUGGCUGAGCUUGGAAGUGGAUCCUCCCCCAACUGAACCUUGAAAUGACAGACGCUCCAGCAGGCACCAUGAUGCCAGCCUUGUAAGAGACCCUGAGCCAGAACACACAGCUGAGAUGUGUCUGGAUUCCUGACCUGCAGAAACUGUGUGGCAAUAAACAUUUGUUGUUUUAAAGCUGCUAAGUUUGGGGGCCAUUUGUUACACAGCAGCAGAUAACAAAUACAGUUCUGAUUAAUGGCACCAGCCUCACCUGUCCUAUUCCUAGAUAUGCUUAGCUUAGCUUUGGUCUAGACUUGGGUCUCCAUGUACAACUAUAACCUUGGUCAUCUGAAGCUCAGAGUAGGAGGGGGUGUAUUGAGGGAAUGAGACUACGAGGAGGCACACCCCAAUAUCUGCUGCUUUCUGGAAAACUCAGCCUCCAAAACUAAGUCAGCAACCAUAGGAGAUGGCCGUUGCAAGGUGGUUAAGCAUAAGGGAAUAACACAGGUUCGGAGCCAGCUUCUACCACCUCUUUCCUUUAACAGAGUUACAGGUCCUCCCUGAGCUCCCAUUUCUCAGGGGCCCUCCUGAAGCAGAGAAGGAAGCCACAACAUGGGCAGUCUAACUAGCACCAGCCAGAGAGCAGACACGAAGACGAAAGGAGAGGUUCUUUGUAAGGAACUUAGCCCUGGAACACGGCAGGUGCUUGUUAUGAGCUUGGCCUUGUAGUUAUCAGGGCACUUGGCAUCAUAGGCAUCACCCCAGCCACUGUUGGCAUGAAGACCUUGCAAUGCCAUCCUGGUUCCUGGACCCGGGCAUAUUAACGAUGAUGCCCACAUCUGAAGGACAAGAAGGUCUCAGUCGUGCAAUCACAGAGGAUUCACCUGGAGCUUCCCUGAGGAAUGUUCUUUUGGGCCGAGUCACCCGCUUGCUCCGGUGAGGCUGAGCUUGAGCUUUGAAUCCUGCCUGGAAUACAAAGGCCCCAUCAAACACUGCCAGGCUCACCAGCUCCCCUCCACCGCAUGCGCCAAGGGUCUCCCUCGCUUGGGUGUUUAUUUCUUGCUGUAAGAAGCGAUGAUUUAAUUCUUGCCUGGGAUAUCAUUCAGCCCAAGUUCGUGCUGAAGUGAGGCAUAUUUCAGCACUCACCAAUGUCCAUAUAGAUAAAAGAGAAAAAAAAGAGAGAGAGAAAACAACCUCAACCAGCCUCUUCAAGAGCUGUGCAUUUGAAACCUGUUUCUUAAAGAUGGAUUGCCCGUUAGGCUGCUAAGAGGUUUUUCUUGACUUGUCAACAUUUUAUGCCCCCACAAACAUUCUUGGCUAUAAAUUAUUCAUUGCCCAGUUAGUGGUUAAAAAAAAAAAAGCUGCCCGGGGCUGAGAUACUUUCUUAAUUCCCCCUCUGCUUUUCAGAUCCAAGUUGUUUUUGUCCCUCCUCCUGCUGGAAAAGUAGAAAUAACUGGAAGUCUCUGGACUCAGAGGUGCGUGGCUAUGGCCGGAUGAGAAAAUAGAGUUGAGUACAGCAUGAGCUUGGCUGGGGUCAGGGAUGGGGGCAAUUACAGUUUUGGGGUCAAGCCUGGACACUG